GUGACAUUUCACUCCACAACAAGCACUUUUAUCUGAGGCAAUGAUGACCGCACGUGUAUUUUCCAAUGUCACGGAAACAUCCACAGCUUCUCUCAUAAAGAGAUGAGAUGGCCGGCACAAUUGAUAGGGGUUGGCAAAUGAACGCUGGUUUUGC